UAUUUCGACUUCAGACUAACAAUAAGAAUAUAAGAUAUAUAGUUGCCCAAUGGAGUGGAUAGUAGUACAUUUUAUAGAAGAAAAUUUAGUCGAAGCUGUACCGGUCGCAUGGGUGCAUGAUGAUAUGUGUUAUUGGCCACCGUACACUGGUACACUGGCAAAAAAUUAAUUCAUUCUGUCGCAGUAUGUGAAAAACCAGUAUUCGGUGUAUGGCCAUUAUUUAAAAUUCGAAAAGUGGGAAGUGGACGUACCUAUAAUGAUUUAGUAAAAGCAAGAGCAAAGACGUGUACAGCAGAAGACACAUCAGAUUUGACAUCAAAUCCUGAAAGAAAAAGAAUUCGGAAAAAGAAAAAAUAUCUUUAUGAUACAAACGAAUCACAAAGUUCAUCAACUAAUAAAAGUUCAUCGGAUGAUGAAAUUUCAAAUUCAGCAGAUUUUCCUACUCUACCUGAUUCUGAUAACACAA